AUGUAUUCAUUCGAGAUCUGGAC
rnacentral:miRNA from 1 species